AGCGAACGCUGGCGGCAGGCUUAACACAUGCAAGUCGAGGGUAGCGGCAGACGGGUGAGUAACGCGUGGGAACGUACCUUUUGGUUCGGAACAACACAGGGAAACUUGUGCUAAUACCGGAUACCGAAAGAUCGGCCCGCGUCGGAUUAGCUAGUUGGGAGGGUAAUGGCCUACCAAGGCGACGAUCAGUAGCUGGGCAGAGAGGAUGAUCAGCCACAUUUGGACUGAGACAAGGCCCAAACUCCUACGGGAGGCAGCAGAGGGGAAUAUUGGACAAUGGGGGCAACCCCGAUCCAUCCAUGCCGCUUAAGUAAUGAAGGCACUAGUGUUGUAAAGCUCUUUUGUGCGGGAAGCGGUACCGAAAGAAUAAGCCCCGGCUAACUUCGUGCCAGCAGCCGCGGUAAUUC
rnacentral:rRNA from 1 species